AUUGAACGCUGGCGGCAGGCCUAACACAUGCAAGUCGAACGAGUGGCGGACGGGUGAGUAAUGUCUGGGAAACUGCCUGACGGAGGGGGAUAACUACUGGAACCGGUAGCUAAUACCGCAUACCACCCGCUGUGCCCAGAUGGGAUUAGCUAGUGGGUGGGGUAACGGCUCACCAAGGCGACGAUCCCUAGCUGGUCUGAGAGGAUGACCAGCCACACUGGAACUGAGACACGGUCAAGACUCCUACGGGAGGCAGCAGGGGGGAAUAUUGCACAAUGGGAGCAAGGCUGAUGCAGCAAUGCCGCGUGUAUGAAGAAGGGCUUCGGGUUGUAAAGUACUUUCAGCGGGGAGGCGUUACCCGCAGAAGAAGCACCGGCUAACUCCGUGCCAGCAGCCGCGGUAAUUC
rnacentral:rRNA from 1 species